UAGGGAAUCUUCCGCAAUGGACGCAAGUCUGACGGAGCAACGCCGCGUGAGUGAAGAAGGAUUUCGGUUCGUAAAACUCUGUUGUUAGAGAAGAACAGCGCAUAGAGUAACUGUUAUGCGUGUGACGGUAUCUAACCAGAAAGCCACGGCUAACUACGUGCCAGCAGCCGCGGUAAUACGUAGGUGGCAAGCGUUGUCCGGAUUUAUUUGGCGUAAAGCGAGCGCAGGCGGUCAAUUAAGUCUGAUGUGAAAGCCCCCGGCUCAACCGGGGAGGGUCAUUGGAAACUGGUUGACUUGAGUGCAGAAGAGGAGAGUGGAAUUCCAUGUGUAGCGGUGAAAUGCGUAGAUAUAUGGAGGAACACCAGUGGCGAAGGCGACUCUCUGGUCUGUAACUGACGCUGAGGUUCGAAAGCGUGGGUAGCAAACAGG
rnacentral:rRNA from 1 species